AUUGAACGCUGGCGGCAGGCCUAACACAUGCAAGUCGAACGAGUGGCGGACGGGUGAGUAAUGUCUGGGAAACUGCCCGCUGGAGGGGGAUAACUACUGGAAACGGUAGCUAAUACCGCAUACCAUCGGAUGUGCCCAUAUGGGAUUAGCUUGUAGUUGAGGUAACGGUCCACCUAGGCGACGAUCCCUAGCUGGUCUGAGAGGAUGACCAGCCACCCGGGAACUGGGACACUGUCCAGACUCUGACGGGAGGCAUCAUUGGGGAAUAUUGCACAAUGGGCGCAAGCCGGAUGCAGCCAGGCCGCGUGUAUGAAGAAGGCCUUCGGGGUGUAAAGUACUUUCAGCGGGGAGGCGUUACCCGCAGAAGAAGCACCGGCUAACUCCGUGCCAGCAGCCGCGGUAAUUC
rnacentral:rRNA from 1 species